rnacentral:rRNA from 1 species
UACAGAGGGUGCGAGCGUUGUCCGGAAUCACUGGGCGUAAAGGGUGCGUAGGCGGCGCGGUAAGUCGGGUGUGAAAUCUCGGGGCUUAACUCCGAAACUGCAUUCGAUACUGCCGUGCUUGAGGACUGGAGGGGAGACUGGAAUUUACGGUGUAGCGGUGAAAUGCGUAGAUAUCGUAAGGAAGACCAGUGGCGAAGGCGGGUCUCUGGACAGUUCCUGACGCUGAGGCACGAAGGCCAGGGGAGCAAACGGG